ACAUGCUUACAACAUAGUGUUAAUGCAUCGGAUCCCAUUAAAACUCCGCAGUUAAGCGCUUUCAAGCUAGAGUAGUACUGGGAUGGGUGACCGCUCGUGAAGUCCUAGUGUUUUACAUGCC
rnacentral:rRNA from 1 species